AUGAACGCUAGCGACAGGCUUAACACAUGCAAGUCGAGGGGCAGCACAGGUAGCAAUACCGGGUGGCGACCGGCGCACGGGUGAGUAACGCGUAUGCAACUUGCCUAUCAGAGGGGGAUAACCCGGCGAAAGUCGGACUAAUACCGCAUGAAGCAGGGGCCCCGCAUGGGGAUAUUUGCUAAAGAUUCAUCGCUGAUAGAUAGGCAUGCGUUCCAUUAGGCAGUUGGCGGGGUAACGGCCCACCAAACCGACGAUGGAUAGGGGUUCUGAGAGGAAGGUCCCCCACAUUGGUACUGAGACACGGACCAAACUCCUACGGGAGGCAGCAGUGAGGAAUAUUGGUCAAUGGGCGUAAGCCUGAACCAGCCAAGUCGCGUGAGGGAUGAAGGUUCUAUGGAUCGUAAACCUCUUUUAUAAGGGAAUAAAGUGCGGGACGUGUCCCGUUUUGUAUGUACCUUAUGAAUAAGGAUCGGCUAACUCCGUGCCAGCAGCCGCGGUAAUACGGAGGAUCCGAGCGUUAUCCGGAUUUAUUGGGUUUAAAGGGUGCGUAGGCGGCCUUUUAAGUCAGCGGUGAAAGUCUGUGGCUCAACCAUAGAAUUGCCGUUGAAACUGGGGGGCUUGAGUAUGUUUGAGGCAGGCGGAAUGCGUGGUGUAGCGGUGAAAUGCAUAGAUAUCACGCAGAACCCCGAUUGCGAAGGCAGCCUGCCAAGCCAUUACUGACGCUGAUGCACGAAAGCGUGGGGAUCAAACAGGAUUAGAUACCCUGGUAGUCCACGCAGUAAACGAUGAUCACUAGCUGUUUGCGAUACACUGUAAGCGGCACAGCGAAAGCGUUAAGUGAUCCACCUGGGGAGUACGCCGGCAACGGUGAAACUCAAAGGAAUUGACGGGGGCCCGCACAAGCGGAGGAACAUGUGGUUUAAUUCGAUGAUACGCGAGGAACCUUACCCGGGUUUGAACGCAUUCGGACCGAGGUGGAAACACCUUUUCUAGCAAUAGCCGUUUGCGAGGUGCUGCAUGGUUGUCGUCAGCUCGUGCCGUGAGGUGUCGGCUUAAGUGCCAUAACGAGCGCAACCCUUGCCACUAGUUACUAACAGGUAAAGCUGAGGACUCUGGUGGGACUGCCAGCGUAAGCUGCGAGGAAGGCGGGGAUGACGUCAAAUCAGCACGGCCCUUACAUCCGGGGCGACACACGUGUUACAAUGGCGUGGACAAAGGGAGGCCACCUGGCGACAGGGAGCGAAUCCCCAAACCACGUCUCAGUUCGGAUCGGAGUCUGCAACCCGACUCCGUGAAGCUGGAUUCGCUAGUAAUCGCGCAUCAGCCAUGGCGCGGUGAAUACGUUCCCGGGCCUUGUGCACACCGCCCGUCAAGCCAUGGGAGCCGGGGGUACCUGAAGUCCGUAACCGCGAGGAUCGGCCUAGGGUAAAACUGGUGACUGGGGCU
rnacentral:rRNA from 1 species